rnacentral:rRNA from 1 species
CCUACGGGAGGCAGCAGUGGGGAAUAUUGCACAAUGGGGGAAACCCUGAUGCAGCGACGCCGCGUGAGUGAAGAAGUAUUUCGGUAUGUAAAGCUCUAUCAGCAGGGAAGAAAAAAGACGGUACCUGACUAAGAAGCCCCGGCUAACUACGUGCCAGCAGCCGCGGUAAUACGUAGGGGGCAGGCGUUAUCCGGAUUUACUGGGUGUAAAGGGAGCGUAGACGGCUGUGCAAGUCUGAAGUGAAAGCCCAGGGCUCAACCCUGGGACUGCUUUGGAAACUGUGGAGCUAGAGUGCUGGAGAGGUAAGUGGAAUUCGUGGUGUAGCGGUGAAAUGCGUAGAUAUUAGGAGGAACACCAGUGGCGAAGGCGGCUUACUGGACAGUAACUGACGUUGAGGCUCGAAAGCGUGGGGAGCGAACAGGAUUAGAUACCCUUGUAGUC